rnacentral:rRNA from 1 species
UACGUAGGGGGCAAGCGUUAUCCGGAAUUACUGGGUGUAAAGGGUGCGUAGGCGGUAAUGUAAGUCAGGUGUGCAAGCCCGGAGCUCAACUUCGGGAUUGCACUUGAAACUACAUAACUAGAGUACAGGAGAGGUGAGUGGAAUUCCUAGUGUAGCGGUGAAAUGCGUAGAUAUUAGGAGGAACACCAGUGGCGAAGGCGACUCACUGGACUGUAACUGACGCUGAGGCACGAAAGCGUGGGGAGCGAACAGG